rnacentral:rRNA from 1 species
UACAGAGGGGGCAAGCGUUGUUCGGAAUUACUGGGCGUAAAGGGCGCGUAGGCGGCCUGUUAAGUCGAACGUGAAAUCCCCGGGCUCAACCCGGGAACUGCGUCCGAUACUGGCAGGCUUGAAUUCGGGAGAGGGAUGUGGAAUUCCAGGUGUAGCGGUGAAAUGCGUAGAUAUCUGGAGGAACACCGGUGGCGAAGGCGGCAUCCUGGACCGAUAUUGACGCUGAUGCGCGAAAGCCAGGGGAGCAAACGGG